rnacentral:tRNA from 1 species
GCGGGCGUAGCUCGGUAGGUAGAGCGCCAGCUUUCCAAGCUGGAGGCCGUAGGUUCGAAGCCUACCGUCCGCU